rnacentral:rRNA from 1 species
UUCAAUAGACAGUGCAUUUNGACCUCAAAUCAAGUAGGACUACCCGCUGAACUUAAGCAUAUCAU